rnacentral:rRNA from 1 species
CGGAGGAAAAGAAACCAACAGGGAUUGCUCUAGUAACGGCGAGUGAAGCAGCAAUAGCUCAAAUUUGAAAUCUGGCGUCUUCGACGUCCGAGUUGUAAUUUGUAGAGGAUGCUUCUGAGUAACCACCGACCUAAGUUCCUUGGAACAGGACGUCAUAGAGGGUGAGAAUCCCGUAUGCGGUCGGAAAGGUGCUCUAUACGUAGCUCCUUCGACGAGUCGAGUUGUUUGGGAAUGCAGCUCUAAAUGGGAGGUAAAUUUCUUCUAAAGCUAAAUAUUGGCCAGAGACCGAUAGCGCACAAGUAGAGUGAUCGAAAGAUGAAAAGCACUUUGGAAAGAGAGUUAAAAAGCACGUGAAAUUGUUAAAAGGGAAGGGAUUGCAACCAGACUUGCUCGCGGUGUUCCGCCGGUCUUCUGACCGGUCUACUCGCCGCGUUGCAGGCCAGCAUCGUCUGGUGCCGCUGGAUAAGACUUGAGGAAUGUAGCUCCCUCGGGAGUGUUAUAGCCUCUUGUGAUGCAGCGAGCGCCGGGCGAGGUCCGCGC